rnacentral:rRNA from 1 species
UACAGGGGGUGCAAACGUUGCUCGGAAUCAUUGGGCGUAAAGCGCACGUAGGCGGUUCGUUAUGUCGGAUGUGAAAGCCCUUGGCUUAACCGAGGAAGUGCAUCCGAAAACUGGCGAGCUAGAGUACGAAAGAGGAUCGCGGAAUUCCCGGUGUAGAGGUGAAAUUCGUAGAUAUCGGGAGGAACACCGGUGGCGAAGGCGGCGAUCUGGGUCGAUACUGACGCUGAGGUGCGAAAAGCGUGGGGGAGCAAACAGG